GACGAACGCUGGCGGCGUGCUUAACACAUGCAAGUCGAACGGAAAGGCCCUGCUUUUGUGGGUUGCUCGAGUGGCGCACGGGUGAGUAACACGUGAGUAACCUGCCCUUGACUUUGGGGUAACUUCAGGGAACUGGGGCUCAUACCCCGUAUGAUCUCCUGCUGCAUGGGGGGGGUUGGAAAGUUUCGGCGGUUGGGGCUGGAAGGGCGGGUUAUCAGCUUGUUUGUGGGGUAGGUGCUUACCAAGUGUUUGACGGGUAGCCGGCCUGGGAGGUUGAACGGGGUCAUGGGGACUGAGAGACGGACCAGACUCCUAUGGGAGGCAGCAGGCGAGAGUAUUGCACAAUGGGCGGAAGCCUGAUGCAGCAACGCUGGGUGCGGGAUGACGGCCUUCGGGUUGUAAACCGCUUUCGCCUGUGACGAAGCGUGAGUGACGGUAAUGGGUAAAGAAGCACCGGCUAACUACGUG
rnacentral:rRNA from 1 species